rnacentral:rRNA from 1 species
UGUACGCAACCUUCCUUUAACUGGAGAAUAGCCCAUCGAAAGAUGGAUUAAUACUCCGUAACAUAAUGAAGUGGCAUCACUUUAUUAUUAUAGCUCCGGCGGUUAAAGAUGGGCGUGCACCUGAUUAGAUAGUUGGCGGGGUAAUGGCCCACCAAGUCUGCGAUCAGUAACUGGUGUGAGAGCACGACCAGUCACACGGGCACUGAGACACGGGUCCG